UUAAAAGGGCAAUGACGUACGUUGGUCGCGGCGAAAAGGACAAGUCAAAGUUUGUUGCGGGCUUACAGUGUUCCAGGCGUUGUUCUAAGCACUUUUUAUGCAUGAAUGCGUUCACUCCCACAACAAACCCAUGAGCCCGUGAGAUAGUUUGACGGCACCCAAGUGGCAGAACCUAAACCCCGUGCUGUCUCUGCAUUCAUUCUGCGAUCUUUUAAUGAACUCUGCCUUUGCUUUGCUCUGUGACGGGCGCUGGAGGAGAACCGGAGGGGAAAGGCGAGGCCGGAUAUUUAUUACAGUGCGGUAGCGGAAGCUGUGGGGUCGUGGCAGCUCAGGGGGUUGCCCCGGCUCCAAACUGGAGUUGAGGGGUCUCGGGGAUGAGGCAGGGGCUCUUGUGUGGGGAGGUUUCACGGAGGUGACAUUCAGCAGAAAGACAGACGGAUCUCUCCGGAUAAACCUGGUCUCUCUCCUCUGGCUUUCCCACCCGCGGCCGGUGGAUGGCAAGAUGACAUCAUGCCCGGGGGGAGCCGGUCCAGUCCUUUGCAGUCUAUCGCCCUCUGGCGGCCCUCGGGGGAACCAGUCCAUAGCGCCCUCUGGAGCCACUCAGGCCCGGGGAGGGUUAAAGCCGCAGAGACCAGGAAAUCUGGUGAAGCCGGUUGGGCUUGGUGAGCGCCUUGAAGGACCUCGAGUCACCUUGCAGAACUGCAGUGACCUCAUCUGGGAGAUGAAGGGGUUAGGCUGUGCUGGGGCAGUUUUUCCCCUAAACUCACCAUGCAGCUGACUGAGAUGCUUUUCUAAAAUUCUCCCCGCAGGCCGUUAAAAUUAUGCAAGAAAGUUAUAUGUACGUUUAUUGCAUUGCUCAAUAAAAGCCGUUAAGGUAAUGUG